AUCAAAGUAACCGACUUUAAACAUUGCUUUUGCAGCAGAUAAGAUUAAAAAAGAAGCACUAUAUUUGCUUUGCCAUGGUUGAGCAAAGACUCUUGUUUCUAAAGUAGGAUUAUAAUUGCACGUUUUUGGUCCUAAUUACAAAAUAUAAUAUAAAUGUUAUUCAGAUCAAUCAUUAUAAAUAAAUGUUUUCAUAGACUAUUAGUACGUACCUAUCUAAACUUAGCUUAGCUGAAGCAUAUCAAAUCCUCCCAUGUUUAUAAAUAUUAAUUUUAUUAUACCAGCUUGAACACAUGAUAUCAUAACAAGUAACUUGAGAAGCACCCGUAAACAACCUUCCACCUCGCACUGCCUAGUUGGUCAUUGGUUGAGCAGCCAUCUGAAUAGACCACCUGCUACCAUGUCACUUGCCUUUAACAAGAAAGCUUUUAUCCCCAUAGGGAUUACCAAGGAACCAGUGAGACAUAACAACUUUGUACUAACUUAGCAAGGAAGAUGUCAAAGCAGUACUAUGCUUGAUGACAACCCACUGAUCACAUAUUCACCAAGUCCCAAAAUUGUGGCACUACUGGCUAGGAAACCCUUCUCCUAUAUAUACCUUAAAGAAUGAUGAACAAGAGAUCGGAUCCAUCACUCUUUUAGUAAUCCUAAGUCCUCUACAUAUUGUCUUCCUUAGCUCAGAGCCUCCUCACUUAUACACUUUCCACUUCUUCACUUGUUUAGGCGAACUAGCCUCCUUUGCAUCACCAUCUU
rnacentral:lncRNA from 1 species